rnacentral:misc_RNA from 1 species
GAAAUGCGAUAAGUAAUGUGAAUUGCAGAAUUCAGUGAAUCAUCGAAUCUUUGAACGCACAUUGCGCCCGCCAGUAUUCUGGCGGGCAUGCCUGUCCGAGCGUCAUUUCAACCAUCAAGCCCCCGGGCUUGUGUUGGGGACCUGCGGCUGCCCGCAGGCCCCGAAAACCAGUGGCGGGCUCGCUGUCACACCGAGCGUAGUAGCAAUCACCUCGCUCAGGGCGUGCUGCGGGUUCCGGCCGUUAAACAGCCUUACAAAACCCAAGGUUGACCUCGGAUCAGGUAGGAAGACCCGCUGAACUUAAGC